UACGUAGGAGACGAGCGUUGUCCGGAGUUGCUGGGCGUAAAGGGUGCGCAGGCGGCCCUGCGCGUCGCGAGUGAAAUCUCCCGGCUCAACUGGGAGGGUGGUCGCGAGACGGCAGGGCUUGAGGCUCGGUGAGGGGCGUGGAAUUCCGGGUGGAGCGGUGAAAUGCGUAGAUAUCGUCAGGAAUGCCGGUGGUGAAGACGGGUGACUGGGCUGGUUCUGACACUGGGGCACGAAAGCGUGGGGAGCGAACGGG
rnacentral:rRNA from 1 species